GUACCGUGAGGGAAAGGCGAAAAGAACCCCGGCGAGGGGAGUGAAAAAGAACCUGAAACCGUGUACGUACAAGCAGUGGGAGCACAGAGCAAUCUGUGUGACUGCGUACCUUUUGUAUAAUGGGUCAGCGACUUAUAUUCUGUAGCAAGGUUAACCGAAUAGGGGAGCCGAAGGGAAACCGAGUCUUAACUGGGCGUUAAGUUGCAGGGUAUAGACCCGAAACCCGGUGAUCUAGCCAUGGGCAGGUUGAAGGUUGGGUAACACUAACUGGAGGACCGAACCGACUAAUGUUGAAAAAUUAGCGGAUGACUUGUGGCUGGGGGUGAAAGGCCAAUCAAACCGGGAGAUAGCUGGUUCUCCCCGAAAGCUAUUUAGGUAGCGCCUCGUGAAUUCAUCUCCGGGGGUAGAGCACUGUUUCGGCAAGGGGGUCAUCCCGACUUACCAACCCGAUGCAAACUGCGAAUACCGGAGAAUGUUAUCACGGGAGACACACGGCGGGUGCUAACGUCCGUCGUGAAGAGGGAAACAACCCAGACCGCCAGCUAAGGUCCCAAAGUCAUGGUUAAGUGGGAAACGAUGUGGGAAGGCCCAGACAGCCAGGAUGUUGGCUUAGAAGCAGCCAUCAUUUAAAGAAAGCGUAAUAGCUCACUGGUCGAGUCGGCCUGCGCGGAAGAUGUAACGGGGCUAAACCAUGCACCGAAGCUGCGGCAGCGACACUGUGUGUUGUUGGGUAGGGGAGCGUUCUGUAAGCCUGCGAAGGUGUGCUGUGAGGCAUGCUGGAGGUAUCAGAAGUGCGAAUGCUGACAUAAGUAACGAUAAAGCGGGUGAAAAGCCCGCUCGCCGGAAGACCAAGGGUUCCUGUCCAACGUUAAUCGGGGCAGGGUGAGUCGACCCCUAAGGCGAGGCCGAAAGGCGUAGUCGAUGGGAAACAGGUUAAUAUUCCUGUACUUGGUGUUACUGCGAAGGGGGGACGGAGAAGGCUAUGUUGGCCGGGCGACGGUUGUCCCGGUUUAAGCGUGUAGGCUGGUUUUCCAGGCAAAUCCGGAAAAUCAAG
rnacentral:rRNA from 1 species